rnacentral:misc_RNA from 1 species
GAUGAAGAACGCAGCGAAAUGCGAUAAGUAAUGUGAAUUGCAGAAUUCAGUAAAUCAUCGAAUCUUUGAACGCACAUUGCGCCCCCUGGUAUUCCGGGGGGCAUGCCUGUCCGAGCGUCAUUACAACCCUCAAGCUCAGCUUGGUGUUGGGCCCCGCCGCCCCGGCGGGCCCUAAAGUCAGUGGCGGUGCCGUCCGGCUCCGAGCGUAGUAAUUCUUCUCGCUCUGGAGGUCCGGUCGUGUGCUCGCCAGCAACCCCCAAUUUUUUUCAGGUUGACCUCGGAUCAGGUAGGGAUACCCGCUGAACUUAAGCAUAUCAAUAAGCGGAGGA